rnacentral:rRNA from 1 species
GACAAACGCGGCGGCGUGCCUAAUACAUGCAAGUCGAACGAGAGCGACCGGUGCUUGCACUGGUCAAUCUAGUGGCGAACGGGUGAGUAACACGUGGGUAACCUGCCCAUCAGAGGGGGAUAACAUCCGGAAACGGAUGCUAAAACCGCAUAGGUCUUCGAGCCGCAUGGCUUGAAGAGGAAAAGAGGCGCAAGCUUCUGCUGAUGGAUGGACCCGCGGUGCAUUAGCUAGUUGGUGAGGUAACGGCUCACCAAGGCCGUGAUGCAUAGCCGACCUGAGAGGGUGAUCGGCCACAUUGGGACUGAGACACGGCCCAAACUCCUACGGGAGGCAGCAGUAGGGAAUCUUCCGCAAUGGACGCAAGUCUGACGGAGCAACGCCGCGUGAGUGAAGAAGAUUUUCGGAUCGUAAAACUCUGUUGUUAGAGAAGAACAAGUGCUAGAGUAACUGUUAGCGCCUUGACG